rnacentral:rRNA from 1 species
AUGGGGUCAGCGCAAGCGAAGCUCUUGAUCGAAGCCCCGGUAAACGGCGGCCGUAACGAUAACGGUCCUAAGGUAGCGAAAUUCCUUGUCGGGUAAGUUCCGACCUGCACGAAUGGCGUAAUGAUGGCCAGGCUGUCUCCACCCGAGACUCAGUGAAAUUGAACUCGCUGUGAAGAUGCAGUGUACCCGCGGCAAGACGGAAAGACCCCGUGAACCUUUACUAUAGCUUGACACUGAACACUGGUCCUUGAUGUGUAGGAUAGGUGGGAGGCUUUGAAGCGUGGACGCCAGUCUGCGUGGAGCCGACCUUGAAAUACCACCCUUUAAUGGCUGGUGUUCUAACGUAGACCCGUAAUCCGGGUUGCGGACAGUGUCUGGUGGGUAGUUUGACUGGGGCGGUCUCCUCCCAAAGAGUAACGGAGGAGCACGAAGGUUGGCUAAUCCUGGUCGGACAUCAGGAGGUUAGUGCAAUGGCAUAAGCCAGCUUGACUGCGAGCGUGACGGCGCGAGCAGGUGCGAAAGCAGGUCAUAGUGAUCCGGUGGUUCUGAAUGGAAGGGCCAUCGCUCAACGGAUAAAAGGUACUCCGGGGAUAACAGGCUGAUACCGCCCAAGAGUUCAUAUCGACGGCGGUGUUUGGCACCUCGAUGUCGGCUCAUCACAUCCUGGGGCUGAAGUAGGUCCCAAGGGUAUGGCUGUUCGCCAUUUAAAGUGGUACGCGAGCUGGGUUUAGAACGUCGUGAGACAGUUCGGUCCCUAUCUGCCGUGGGCGCUGGAGAAUUGAGGGGGGCUGCUCCUAGUACGAGAGGACCGGAGUGGACGCAUCACUGGUGUUCGGGUUGUCAUGCCAAUGGCACUGCCCGGUAGCUAAAUGCGGAAGAGAUAAGUGCUGAAAGCAUCUAAGCACGAAACUUGCCCCGAGAUGAGUUCUCCCUGAGACUUUAAGUCUCCUGAAGGAACGUUGAAGACGACGACGUUGAUAGGUCGGGUGUGUAAGCGCAGCGAUGCGUUGAGCUAACCGAUACUAAUGAACCGCGAGGCAGAGAUAA